UGUUGAUAUGGUGCAGACAGGUGUUGAUAUGGUACAGAAAGGUGUUGAUAUGGUGCAGACAGGUGUUGAUAUGGUACAGAAAGGUGUUGAUAUGGUGCAGACAGGUGUUGAUAUGGUGCAGACAGGUGUUGAUAUGGUACAGAAAGGUGUUGAUAUGGUGCAGAAAGGUGUUGAUAUGGUGCAGACAGGUGUUGAUAUGGGGCAGACAGGUGUUGAUAUGGGGCAGACAGGUGUUGAUAUGGUACAGAAAGGUGUUGAUAUGGUGCAGAAAGGUGUUGAUAUGGUGCAGACAGGUGUUGAUAUGGUGCAGACAGGUGUUGAUAUGGUGCAGACAGGUGUUGAUAUGGUGCAGAAAGGUGUUGAUAUGGUGCAGAAAGGUGUUGAUAUGGUGCAGACAGGUGUUGAUAUGGUGCAGAAAGGUGUUGAUAUGGUGCAGACAGGUGUUGAUAUGGUGCAGACAGGUGUUGAUAUGGUGCAGAAAGGUGUUGAUAUGGUGCAGAAAGGUGUUGAUAUGGUGCAGACAGGUGUUGAUAUGGGGCAGACAGGUGUUGAUAUGGUGCAGAAAGGUGUUGAUAUGGGGCAGACAGGUGUUGAUAUGGUACAGAAAGGUGUUGAUAUGGUGCAGACAGGUGUUGAUAUGGGGCCGCUUUUGAAGCUGCAACCUUCAGUUUUAGUGAAAUGUUGGAAAUGGUUCCAACUAAAUGUGUUGCCAUGUUCAAAUAAGGAGACUGGCAGACGACCUGUUUCAUACUUCUCUCCUUGUCGUCCCCUCUCUCCCCUGCCGUCCCCUCUCUCUCCCCUGCCGUCCCCUCUCUCUCCCCUGCCGUCCCCUCU